rnacentral:rRNA from 1 species
UACAGAGGGGGCAAGCGUUGUUCGGAAUUACUGGGCGUAAAGGGCGCGUAGGCGGCCUGUUAAGUCGAACGUGAAAUCCCCAGGCUCAACCUGGGAAUUGCGAUGGAGACUGCAAGGCUUGAAUCUGGCAGAGGGGGUAGAAUUCCACGUGUAGCAGUGAAAUGCGUAGAGAUGUGGAGGAACACCGAUGGCGAAGGCAGCCCCCUGGGUCAAGAUUGACGCUCAUGCACGAAAGCGUGGGGAGCAAACAGG